ACGAGUUAGUGCCGUGACUGCUGUUCUGGCUAAGAGUAGGUCAGUUAACUCUGUUUGUUCUGAGUAGGAGGGACAGUCUGGAUCUACAGCAGCUUCGGCGUUGGGGUUCACUGUUGAUGAACUGAAUACUGCAAACAAUAAUGAUAGCUUUUAUCAGUGGAUCUGCUGUUGAGAUGGCCGAGAUGGUUGAGAUGGUCAACAGUGUGAAGUUCCUGGGUGUGCACAUGUCAGAUGGCCUCUCCUGCAACCUGAACACCACCACUGUAAUGAACCGCUGAUCUGUACCAUAAGUCAUCCUUGCGGGGGUUGUCGGAACUGUAUGCGCAGUCGCACUAAGGACAGAUGUGCUCAGAGGCAUGCCCCGUAACGUGUAUGAGCAGUCUGUCGUGCGGCAGGAAUAAGUUGUACAAAGUCCAUCUUAGACAUGUGUGUCAUGCAAGCUAGCAGCAUCCCAUGAGAAACGGGCCGAAGUGUUUAAGUGUUCACCGGAGUUUGCACCCUUGGCAAGCGGACUGAGUUUUCACGGUGCUCAAUGUCCAGAGAAUGAGGCGUGUGUGGUGAGGAAAUAAAUGGCUGCACCCGUUA